UUGUGUUCUGAGAAAAAAAAGAAGAGAGAAGAGGGGGUUCUCUCUGGAGAAAACCGAAAUCGGCCAGGGGGUCCGGCCAUCGCCCCGCCGUGGCUCCGCCGCGCCGGCCACCGUGAAAUCGCCUUAGGUAUGAUCCUUUUUAUUUUUUUUGCUGUAUUUUUUUAUAUUUAUUUAAUGUAUGUGUGUUAUUUCUAAUGAAAUAUCAAUGAUAUAUGCCAAUAAAUUCGAAAAAAAGAAACGAGAAAAGGGGAAAAUAAAACGGUAAAUAGACCUUUAGAUUGGUCUUUAAUAUUCCUUGCUGUAAAUCUGAAUUUUGCUUGAAGCCCUUUGUUAUUAUUUUCCUCUUAUAUUUCGAAAAAAGAAAGAAAUAUCAAGAGCCCGAGAGAGAAAAAGAGAAGAGAAAAAAAAAGUCCCUCACACCCCAUCUUUCUUUCGUUUAUAUAGCCUAUUUUUACAAGUGUUUUUUCUUUUUCUUCUGCACACUGUCCUUUCUCUUUUAAUGCUGCAGGUGAACGGCGGUGGAGGCAGGUGCCACUUGCACUGGCGAUGUGAUUGGAGGCGGUGGAAUUAGGUGGUUUAGGGUUUCAGAUUCUGAAACCCUAAUUUUAGGCUAGUUGGGUCAGUUUAGGGGUAUGUCAUUGGGUUAGAGGGUUUAGGCUUUUGUUUGGGUAUUGGGCUUGAGGGUUAGGAAAUAGAUUUUGGGGUUAAUGGGUUUAAUUGGGUUUUGUAGGGGCCGGGUAAAUUUGGGUUCCCACAGUCUUCAAAAUUUGGGUUCUCACAGUCUUCAAACUCUAACAUCAGUCACAUAUUUUUAAUUUCAUCAAAUUAACUGUUAAAAUUAUAUUAUUAAUAAAUGAAGUCAUUUUUCUAUUAAUUUAAUUAAAAAAUAUUUAUUAUACUUGUGUCCUCCAAAUAUAUAAAAAUUUCAUUUGAGAUUAACAACCGAUGAUAGUGAG
rnacentral:lncRNA from 1 species